rnacentral:rRNA from 1 species
UACAGAGGUCUCAAGCGUUGUUCGGAUUCAUUGGGCGUAAAGGGUGCGUAGGCGGCGCGGUAAGUCGGGUGUGAAAUCUUGGAGCUUAACUCCGAAACUGCAUUCGAUACUGCCGUGCUUGAAGGACUGGAGAGGAGACUGGAAUUUACGGUGUAGCGGUGAAAUGCGUAGAUAUCGUAAGGAAGACCAGUGGCGAAGGCGGGUCUCUGGACAGUUCCUGACGCUGAGGCACGAAGGCCAGGGGAGCAAACGGG